GGUAUGUCAGACGGUACUGCCCUGAGAACCACAUACAAAGGGGAAGAAGUGUUUCCCCAAAGAAGCAUGAGAGAGUUAGACUGGUAUUGGAAGAGAAAAAGGACAAAAACAACAAAAGGAACUGUGUUGUUUUAGACAUACAUUAGCUGUGUGACCUUAGGCAAAACUGCCUUCUCAGAAUUGUAGUUUUUUCAUCUAUAUUCAGGAUAAUAACAACUACCUUGGAAAGUGUAAGAUUACUAAAAUACAUAAAGCAUCUAGUACAACAGAAGGUGUUCUCAAAGAGUGCUUUUUAAAGCCCUUGCUCAGGCUUUUCCCUCAUUUUAACAAUAUUAGAGCUAGUAAGUAAAUAAAAUAAUAGAGUGUAAUAAGAAAAAACAUUUUUAGUGCAGUUUUUUUGUAUACAAGAUUUAUCUGAAAAUCUGAAAAUCUUGUGCAGACAGAAAGUUCAGGUCCUUUUCGCCUCUUGCCUGAACUAUUAAAUUUCUCUUCUUAAAAUUCCUUUUCCAACUAUAGGUCCCGCCUUCAUCAAGACACUACACCAGUCCUCCAAACUCUUGAGCUCCUUAUGUUAUGGUACCCUCUAACUGAAGUCUUUCCGUAUGUAUUUCCCACAGUUAACACAGUAUCUCUUAGCCUGGCAUUCAAGGUUCUCUACAAUCUAAAUCUAAUCAAUGUUUCUCACCUCCCCGUUCCAUCCAAUACCUCAGACUCACAGCUCCCCAAUUCUAGGCUCUUUAGACCUUGUUCCUUCUCCUUCCUGCCUGUCAAAAUAUUAGACCUGCAUUCUAUUGUGUGCACCAAUUUUUUAAAUGAAUAUAACCCUAACCAAGUAACAAUAUUUUAGUAAAUUUCAUUUAAGUUAAACAUUUAGAACAUACAGACUUGUUUCUAGAACUUUCAUUCAGAACAAUGAAAAUUGGCAAUAACCGAAAUGCCCAAAAGGGUACUGGUUAAAUAAUAGCACAUAUCUAAAACAGUGUGUAACCCCUUCAAAUUAAAAUUAUUGCCAUGGAUUUAUAUAUGAAACAGCUUUUAAAAAUAAGUUAUGACAGUGGGAUUGUAUAUGAACUCAUUUUUCUGGUCUGUAUGCACUAAAACAAGUUGGAAGAUAGGCACCAAGAAUUAAUGGUUUUCUCUGGGUGAUGGCAGAAUCAUUUUCUUCCGUUUGAUUCCUCUAGUUUCUAAAAUUAAUACUUCGCUAUAUAUAAGGAGGUGAAACUAAAGAGAAACUCGUACCCACUUUUCCCAGUUUCAGUUCAAAACUACUUCCUGCCUCUCAUUCCCAAACUUUCCCCCGUCGCCCUCCUCACUUCCUACAGCACAAAAUGCCUCCUUCUUAUGGCCUUUAUUAAUUGCUAACCAGCAUAACACCAGCCAUACACAUCUUCUCUUUCCCAGAGGUGCUAGAACUCCCUAAAAAAGGUCGUCAUUGCAAGUGGCUGUUCGAACCACCGCGCCAAAGACAAAGUGGACGGACGAUGGCCACCGACAACAAAACAUGAACGAAGACAUUAACCCGCUAGUCUAAGCACAUCACGUGGUCGUCGGAGCACGUGACCCGUGGUUUCGCAGUAAGUACAAGGACAUUCGUCAGUUUAAGUUCUCGCAUUUCACGAUCUUCUCACUGAAGUGGACUGCCUGAGCCAAGGACUCUUCCGACUGCGGAACCUCCGGUCUCUUAGACGUUACCUGUCUCCAGAGCCGGUUUCACGCACCCGCACGGGGUCGCUGUGGGCCGAGGCCCCGAUUCCUCCAAGCCGCGCAUGGCUUCAGGUGUAUGGAUGCCUUUCGCAGACCCUCUGAGGUUGCCCACCGGUCAGUGACUCCCGAGUUCCCGCGCUUUCCAAGAAGGACGCAUCGAUGAAUACUUACGCGCAAAAAUGACUCAAAUAUUAAUAAGUAACCUACAUGUCCAACGCAUGACGCUAA